CGAGCGGACAGAUGGGAGCUUGCUCCCUGAUGUUAGCGGCGGACGGGUGAGUAACACGUGGGUAACCUGCCUGUAAGACUGGGAUAACUCCGGGAAACCGGGGCUAAUACCGGAUGGUUGUUUGAACCGCAUGGUUCAGACAUAAAAGGUGGCUUCGGCUACCACUUACAGAUGGACCCGCGGCGCAUUAGCUAGUUGGUGAGGUAACGGCUCACCAAGGCAACGAUGCGUAGCCGACCUGAGAGGGUGAUCGGCCACACUGGGACUGAGACACGGCCCAGACUCCUACGGGAGGCAGCAGUAGGGAAUCUUCCGCAAUGGACGAAAGUCUGACGGAGCAACGCCGCGUGAGUGAUGAAGGUUUUCGGAUCGUAAAGCUCUGUUGUUAGGGAAGAACAAGUGCCGUUCAAAUAGGGCGGCACCUUGACGGUACCUAACCAGAAAGCCACGGCUAACUACGUGCCAGCAGCCGCGGUAAUACGUAGGUGGCAAGCGUUGUCCGGAAUUAUUGGGCGUAAAGGGCUCGCAGGCGGUUUCUUAAGUCUGAUGUGAAAGCCCCCGGCUCAACCGGGGAGGGUCAUUGGAAACUGGGGAACUUGAGUGCAGAAGAGGAGAGUGGAAUUCCACGUGUAGCGGUGAAAUGCGUAGAGAUGUGG
rnacentral:rRNA from 1 species